CUACGUUUCGCUCUCUUCUUCUCAUGCAAAUUUUUUAAUCACACUUAUUUAUUCUUAUUUAUUAUUUGUUAGAAAUAAGAUUCUAAUCUUUAUGUACAUUGCAGAUAAAGUCAGAAUUUGAAGCUCAUACCUUCAUCUCUAACUCCUCUCCAGAUGUAUAUGUACACGUAUGGGCUCAUUCGAGGGUGACGCUCCAACAUGAUUUUUUUUCAUAUUCAGGGUUCGAACCCGAGACCUCUGGUUAGGGGUGAAGCAGCUCCAUCACUGCACCACUACCCAUGUUGGUGGUCUUUAAUUUAUAUUCCUCUUGAUAAAUAUUUUUUUAGGGCAUAAAUUUAUAUUUUCGUAUCAUAAUAUGUCAUAAGUUAUAUAUGAGUAUGCCUUCAGUUUCUAAAGAAUUUGUACCUCACUAGUUUCAAUUUCUAAAAGUAGGUGUGUCAAUGAGAUGGUUCGGUUGGUUAUUUCUUAAAAACUAUACCAUCCCAUCUUUUCGGGUAUUUUAUAAUGUAAAAUCAAAAUUAGAUUCUUUAAAACUA